GACGAACGCUGGCGGCGCGCCUAACACAUGCAAGUCGAACGAGCGAGAGAGAGCUUGCUUUCUCGAGCGAGUGGCGAACGGGUGAGUAACGCGUGAGGAACCUGCCUCAAAGAGGGGGACAACAGUUGGAAACGACUGCUAAUACCGCAUAAGCCCACGGCUCGGCAUCGAGCAGGGGGAAAAGGAGCAAGCCGCUUUGAGAUGGCCUCGCGUCCGAUUAGCUAGUUGGUGGGGUAACGGCCCACCAAGGCGACGAUCGGUAGCCGGACUGAGAGGUUGAACGGCCACAUUGGGACUGAGACACGGCCCAGACUCCUACGGGAGGCAGCAGUGGGGAAUAUUGCACAAUGGGGGAAACCCUGAUGCAGCGACGCCGCGUGGAGGAAGAAGGUCUUCGGAUUGUAAACUCCUGUUGUUGGGGAAGAUAAUGACGGUACCCAACAAGGAAGUGACGGCUAACUACGUG
rnacentral:rRNA from 1 species